rnacentral:rRNA from 1 species
GAUGAACGCUGGCGGCGUGCCUAAUACAUGCAAGUCGAGCGAACAGACGAGGAGCUUGCUCCUCUGACGUUAGCGGCGGACGGGUGAGUAACACGUGGAUAACCUACCUAUAAUACUGGGAUAACUUCGGGAAACCGGAGCUAAUACCGGAUAAUAUAUUGAACCGCAUGGUUCAAUAGUGAAAGACGGUUUUGCUGUCACUUAUAGAUGGAUCCGCGCCGCAUUAGCUAGUUGGUAAGGUAACGGCUUACCAAGGCAACGAUGCGUAGCCGAUCUGAGAGGGUGAUCGGCCACACUGGAACUGAGACACGGUCCAGACUCCUACGGGAGGCAGCAGUAGGGAAUCUUCCGCAAUGGGCGAAAGCCUGACGGAGCAACGCCGCGUGAGUGAUGAAGGUCUUCGGAUCGUAAAACUCUGUUAUUAGGGAAGAACAAAUGUGUAAGUAACUAUGCACGUCUUGACGGUACCUAAUCAGAAAGCCACGGCUAACUACGUG